UUAAAAAGAUAAUACUCUAUGUCCUCCUUUGGUUGUAUAGAUUUUGAGACAGCAUAGAUUACAAGUUGGUAUACCAUGAGAUCUUUGUGUGUAUGCAUGUCAUCUACUAGCCCUACACCUCGAUUUAUAUAGGUACCAGAAGUAUCUAGGGUUUACACAUAGGUUGGCUGCAUCUAGGGUAAUCGUGGUGUAGACGAACUCUAAGUCUAGGAGUAUGUAUCAAGUCUUCGAAAAUAUCCUAUCUUGGUGCUUAUGGGCCCGACGAACAUGGCCCACUAGUAAAUCAUCAUGGGUGUCCUUGGUCCGGCCCACCUGGACGGGAGACGACGAGAUGAUCACUCUUAGUCAAGGACACCAUCACCGGCAGCGGAUGUAAGAGAGAUCUCCAAAUAAACCUGAGAGGCAUUUGGAUCUGGUGAAGAUGGGGAGUACUCCCUCCCUGCUUUCUUGGAGGAAGGGAGGCAAUCAUUGAGUCUUUCUCAGCUCACUUCGAUCCACCUCGUGGCGGAGGCGGGUGUAAGGGAUAGACAACGCCUUCGCAUGUCAGAUAAUUCCGACGAUGCCAAGAUUAUCAACUGGGCCACAAGCAUAGGGACAACACCGGAUCAUCGAAUCCAUGUUGAGUUUUAUCACAUACAGUGUGAACUUGCCCAAGUGAUCAUGAAGCAAGUCGUCGAACAAGGAGGGAUGUUCUUCCAUGGGACAAUGAGGCGGGAGAAUGUCCGAGAGCUGCUACGCGCUCAGCGUCUGGACCUAAAGCCUUUCAACCAGAUCGGGUCAUUCAUCCCUGACUAUGAAGAUUGGGGCGCCGACAUGGACGAGUGAUUGACGAUGACAAUGCGUGUUUACAAUUAGUACUACC
rnacentral:lncRNA from 1 species